AUACGGAGGGUGCGAGCGUUAAUGGGAAUUACUGGGCGUAAAGCGCGCGUAGGCGGUUUGGUCAGUCGGAUGUGAAAGCCCUGAGCUCAACUUGGGAACUGCAUUUGAAACUGAUAGUCUUGAGGCCGGAAGAGGAUGGCGGAAUUCCCAGUGUAGAGGUGAAAUUCGUAGAUAUUGGGAAGAACACCGGUUGCGAAGGCGGCUACCUGGACCGGUACUGACGCUGAGGCGCGAAAGCUAGGGUAGCAAACAGGAUUAGAAACCCCGGUAGUCC
rnacentral:rRNA from 1 species